AUGACUGAUUACGGUCACUACUGCGAUGCUCGCUGCCUAUACGCAGGCAGUCCGAACCCCCAAGGAGACCGACUGCGCCGGCGACCCAGUACGCGCCGUGGCACCCCGGGGGCAGGCGGGACGCGCACCGAAGAAGCGCGGGGUUUUAGAGGCGCUGCAGUAGAGAGCGCCACGAGCCGGAGAGACCCCGACCGACCGACCGACCGACCGACCGUCCGUCCGUCCCUCCCUGCCUCCCUCCCUCCCUCCCGCAGCAAGGCCACCACCCGCCCUGCCGCACUCCCGGGACCCGCGACGGGCCCUCGUUUCAGAGGGCCUGCGAGCGGCCGAGGGAAGGAAGGAAAGAGAAGACUCGCACGACGACGCCGCGGCUACCUCCUCGCCCACGACCGCUCAUCCUCACGGAGAACGUUGGCGGGGACCUCCUUGCCCUUGCAGGCGACCUCUCCGAAAGCGGCUGCAGCGGCAGCGCCGCCGCCGGGCCAGGCGGCCUGCGCCCUAACGAUCCCGUCGGCCAUGACGGCGCCCGCUCGGUACAACGCCCCCUCCCUUCCCGCACUCGGCCCGGCCCUCCGCGGCGCUCAUUGGGCCGACAGAUCGCCGCCGACCGCUCCCGCGCCUCGAUUGGCUGCCUCGCCUGCCCUCUUCCCUUGUCCCCGCCCUCUCGGCGGCUCCGCUCCCGUCGACCCGGUGCUUAUCGGCGCUCAGGGAGGUCGCGUGCCCUCGGGGCGCGGAGGGAUCCGACCGGGAGGGAGGAAGUGGGCGCCCGAAAACGGGCUGGGCGGCUCCGCGGAGGGAAGCCGGGCCCUGCACGGCUGGGAAACGAGCUCCACAGAACGGUUGCUCCGAUCAUAGAAUCAUAGCAUGGCUUGGCUUGGCAGGGACCUUACUUAAAGAUCACCUAAUUCCAACCCCCCCGCCCUGGGCAGGGACACCUUCCACUAGACCACGUUGCUCAAAGCCCCAUCCAACCUGGCCUUAAACACUUCCAGGGACGGGGCAUCCGCCACUUCUCCUGGCAACCCGUUCCAGUGCCUCACCCCCCUCUCAGGAAAGAAUCUCUUCCAACUAUCCAGUCUAAGUCUACCCUCUUUGAGUUUAAAACCAUUACUCCUUGCCCUAUCGCUCCUCUCCCUGACAAAGAGUCCCUCCCCAGCUUUCCUGUAGGGCCCCCCCUUUGGGUACUGGAAGGCCCCUCCAAGGUCUCCCCGGAGCCUUCUCUUCUCUCUCCAGGCUGAACCACCCCAACUCCCUCAGCCUGCCUUCCUGGGAGAGGUGCCCCAGCCCCCUGGUCAUCUUCGUGGCCCUCCUCUGGACGCGUUCUAGUACGUCCCCGUCCUUCUUGUGCUGGGGGCCCCAGAGCUGAACACAGUACUUACUCUAGGUGGGGCCUCACAAGAGCACAGCAGCAGAGAGGGAGAAUCACCUCCCUCGACUUGCCGGCCGCCCUCCUUUUGAUGCGGCCCAGGAUACGGGUGGCUUUCCGGGCUGCAAGCGUCCAUUGCAUUGCCGGCUCCGGUUGACGAGCUUCUCAUCAACCAACGCCCCCAGGCCCUUCUCCUCAGAGCUGCUCUCCAUCCAUUCUCCGCCCAGCCUGGAUUCGUGCUUAGGAUUGCCCCGGACCAAAUGCGGGACCUCGCGCUCGUAGCCCCAACUAUUAUUUAUGACCCUAUCAGCUCCACCCCAAACACGCUGGUGGCUUUUGGGCGCUGCUCCCCGCAGGCAGAUCCCCGCUUUUGCCAGGGCAGGCCUUACCUUUUCAGAAGUUGCUCCACAACCUUCCCUGAGAGCCCCACUUCAACUGCUGGUGUUUCUAAGGGGGAAAGCUGCACCUCCCGCGCACGGGGUGGCGGGG
rnacentral:lncRNA from 1 species